rnacentral:rRNA from 1 species
UACGGAGGAUCCAAGCGUUAUCCGGAAUCAUUGGGUUUAAAGGGUCCGUAGGCGGUUUAGUAAGUCAGUGGUGAAAGCCCAUCGCUCAACGGUGGAACGGCCAUUGAUACUGCUAGACUUGAAUUAUUAGGAAAUAACUAGAAUAUGUAGUGUAGCGGUGAAAUGCUUAGAGAUUACAUGGAAUACCAAUUGCGAAGGCAGAUUACUACUAAUGGAUUGACGCUGAUGGACGAAAGCGUGGGUAGCGAACAGG